GAUGAACGCUGGCGGCGUGCCUAAUACAUGCAAGUCGAGCGAAUGGAUUGAGAGCUUGCUCUUAUGAAGUUAGCGGCGGACGGGUGAGUAACACGUGGGUAACCUGCCCAUAAGACUGGGAUAACUCCGGGAAACCGGGGCUAAUACCGGAUAACAUUUUGAACCGCAUGGUUCGAAAUUGAAUGGCGGCUUCGGCUGUCACUUAUGGAUGGACCCGCGUCGCAUUAGCUAGUUGGUGAGGUAACGGCUCACCAAGGCAACGAUGCGUAGCCGACCUGAGAGGGUGAUCGGCCACACUGGGACUGAGACACGGCCCAGACUCCUACGGGAGGCAGCAGUAGGGAAUCUUCCGCAAUGGACGAAAGUCUGACGGAGCAACGCCGCGCGAGUGAUGAAGGCUUUCGGGUCGUAAAACUCUGUUGUUAGGGAAGAACAAGUGCUAGUUGAAUAAGCUGGCACCUUGACGGUACCUAACCAGAAAGCCACGGCUAACUACGUGCCAGCCGCCGCCGUAA
rnacentral:rRNA from 1 species